GUCGGCGCUUUCGUUGCAACUCUGUCACCGUACCUCCAGAAACUUCGUCGCCCAUAGCAGAGCUUGGUCAAUGGAGGUUUUCGCCCAUAGCAGCGCCCACUGUGUUCGCCUUCGCAGCCGCCCGUCGCCGUUGCCGUCCCUCCUCGCUGUUUGCUUAUUUCUCGUUGCCGUCGAUGCGCUCCUUGUUGUUUCUAGUCGCCUUCGCCGUAUUUCUACAGUGUGAAAUUGGUGGAGCAAGGGUUAUGGCAGAAAGAAAAUAAGGGAGUGAUUGGGAUUCUCCUUGUUCAGGAUUCCGCAGAGACUAGUACUGUGGAUCCUGCUUUGUCUCCAUAGUGUACCUUGAAAAAUCAAGCUAGCAUAUCAGAUUUAACAAACAUGAUAGAAAAAGUCUGCAGCAAGUUCACUGGCAUAAGUGGUAAAUCUGUCAUAUAUCCUCUUUUGUUUGAAGUGUUAGGGAUUUAUAAUUUAAUGUAAUGUCAGGUUUUUUAUAUUUAGAAAUUGAACUGGUCAAAGUU